rnacentral:rRNA from 1 species
UUUAUGGAGAGUUUGAUCCUGGCUCAGGAUGAACGCUGGCGGCGUGCCUAAUACAUGCAAGUCGAGCGAACGGACGAGAAGCUUGCUUCUCUGAUGUUAGCGGCGGACGGGUGAGUAACACGUGGAUAACCUACCUAUAAGACUGGGAUAACUUCGGGAAACCGGAGCUAAUACCGGAUAAUAUUUUGAACCGCAUGGUUCAAAAGUGAAAGACGGUCUUGCUGUCACUUAUAGAUGGAUCCGCGCUGCAUUAGCUAGUUGGUAAGGUAACGGCUUAC